UUGCGUUCGUGAUAGAAGCGGCAUCCUUUUCUUGCUUUCUUUAAGCAAGAAAAGAUAGAGCGCAUAGCACGGAAAAAC
rfam:Flavobacterium sp. FPG59 Contig_145, whole genome shotgun sequence.